rnacentral:pre_miRNA from 1 species
UAUGUACUCCCUAUGUCCCAAAUUACUUGUCUUAGAUUUUUCUUGGUACGAAUGUAUCUAGACACGUUUUAGUGUUAGGUACAUCUGUAUCUACACAAAUCUAGGACAAGUCAUUUUGGACGAAGGUAAUAUGAA